UAAUACGGAGGGGGUUAGCGUUGUUCGGAAUUACUGGGCGUAAAGCGUACGUAGGCGGAUUAAUAAGUUAGAGGUGAAAUCCCAGGGCUCAACCCUGGAACUGCCUUUAAAACUGUUAGUCUUGAGAUCGAGAGAGGUGAGUGGAAUUCCAAGUGUAGAGGUGAAAUUCGUAGAUAUUUGGAGGAACACCAGUGGCGAAGGCGGCUCACUGGCUCGAUACUGACGCUGAGGUACGAAAGUGUGGGGAGCAAACAGGAUUAGAUACCCUGGUAGUCCACACCGUAAACGAUGAAUGCCAGACGUCAGCAAGCAUGCUUGUUGGUGUCACACCUAACGGAUUAAGCAUUCCGCCUGGGGAGUACGGUCGCAAGAUUA
rnacentral:rRNA from 1 species